UGAGGAAUUUUGCGCAAUGGCCGCAAGGCUGACACAGCAACGCCGCGUGGGUGAUGAAGGCCUUCGGGUCGUAAAGCCCUGUCGGGUGGGAAGAAAGGUUUCAAGGAGAAGCACUUGGGAUUUGACGGUACCACCAGAGGAAGCACCGGCUAACUCCGUGCCAGCAGCCGCGGUAAUACGGAGGGUGCGAGCGUUAUUCGGAAUUACUGGGCGUAAAGCGCGUGUAGGCGGGGAUGCAAGUCUGAUGUGAAAGCCCUGGGCUUAACCUGGGAAGUGCAUUGAAAACUGCAUUUCUUGAGUACUGGAGAGGAAGGGGGAAUUCCCGGUGUAGAGGCGAAAUUCGUAGAGAUCGGGAGGAAUACCAGUGGCGUAGGCGCCCUUCUGGACGGUAACUGACGCUGAGACGCGAAAGCGUGGGGAGCAAACA
rnacentral:rRNA from 1 species